UACGUAGGGUGCGAGCGUUAUCCGGAAUCAUUGGGCGUAAAGAGCUCGUAGGCGGUUCAGCAAGUCGGCUGUGAAAGUCUGAGGCUCAACCUCAGAAUUGCAGUCGAUACUGCUGUGACUCGAGUCCGGUAGAGGAGAAUGGAAUUCCCGGUGUAGCGGUGAAAUGCGCAGAGAUCGGGAGGAACACCAGUAGCGAAGGCGGUUCUCUGGGCCGGCACUGACGAUGAGGAGCGAAAGCGUGGGGAGCAAACAGG
rnacentral:rRNA from 1 species